CCAGACUUUGCUCAAGUGUAUACCUUCAUUGGAAGUAUGUUUGAUCCGAACAUUACAUGGAGAGCGGAACAUUUCUUUGAAAAGUUACAAGAUGUCGAUCCAGUUACUGCUAAAAUUAUUCUGAUACUAAUGAGGAAUCUUGCUGUAAAUCUGACUAGCCCUAGUCUUGAACCUCUGAUAAGGUGGCUGGGCACGUAUGACGUGAACACAAGAAAGGUGGCAGCCAUCGGCGGAACUGCUGCUUUUGCAGAUAUAUAAUCUUACCUUUCACUUCAUCUGAAUAACUUGUUUUCGUACGUGAA